GCAUGUAAGGGCCAAGUCUUGCACCAUAAAAUUUCAAAUACGCAGGAGGACAAUGGUGAUGCACUAAUCAAAAUGGUAAAUUACAUUUAUCCUACCAUGAAUUACAUUUAAAGUGCAGCCAGAGUUUAUAAGAUAGCUUCAUGUAAUAUUGAUACCAGCUCAAGGAAACAGUAUGCAGCCCUUUUCAAGUAUUUUAUCUGAAAAUAAAUUUGAAAAUGAUGAAAAAGUUU
rnacentral:misc_RNA from 1 species